GUAGGGUGCGAGCGUUAAUCGGAAUUACUGGGCGUAAAGCGUGCGCAGGCGGUUUUUUAAGAUAGGCGUGAAAUCCCCGGGCUCAACCUGGGAACUGCGCUUAUGACUGGAAGACUCGAGUAUGGCAGAGGGGGGUGGAAUUCCACGUGUAGCAGUGAAAUGCGUAGAGAUGUGGAGGAACACCGAUGGCGAAGGCAGCCCCCUGGGCCAAUACUGACGCUCAUGCACGAAAGCGUGGGGAGCAAAC
rnacentral:rRNA from 1 species